UGCGGCUACAUUAUCCAUGAAAAACUGCAAAGAAUGAAGAUAUUACCCAUGUUUUCCUGCAACUCAUCCAAUAUAUAGUUAAUUUAAUACGCCUUCGCCCAUUUAGUACUACUAAAUUCUAAACAAAUUAUAAAUUUUGACAUAUUAUAACGCUGUUUUCUGACCAUUAGAAUUCUGUCAAAUCUUCCCCCAAAGUCCAUGAAAUGGCUUUUCAGAGACUCUAAAUUUAAAAAUUUCUCCUAUCGUUUCGCGCCUGCGGCGUUUGACUCGGGCCUUCGGCCCUCAUUUUCAGCCCCCCCCCCAUUCAAAAAGAGCUUCCUACGGCACUGAAUAUAGAUAGAUUCCGUGAUAACAGAGACAAAUAGUUCGUAUACAGACCUUUACUUCCUUUAUCCCCAUUAUUCCCUGGUGAUCCUUGUCUCCCGGACUGUCCUUGUAUUCCAUUGUAUCCAUUUGAUCCCAUUGGCCCUAUCAAAAGUUAAAAACGUUUAUAGUACACGGUUUUUCAGCCUUUGUUUAUGAGCAAGAUUUAGGAUAUAUAGCAA
rnacentral:lncRNA from 1 species